UACGGGGGGGGCUAGCGUUGCUCGGAAUCACUGGGCGUAAAGCGCACGUAGGCGGAUCUUUAAGUCAGGGGUGAAAUCCUGGAGCUCAACUCCAGAACUGCCUUUGAUACUGAGGGUCUCGAGUCCGGGAGAGGUGAGUGGAACUGCGAGUGUAGAGGUGAAAUUCGUAGAUAUUCGCAAGAACACCAGUGGCGAAGGCGGCUCACUGGCCCGGUACUGACGCUGAGGUGCGAAAGCGUGGGGAGCAAACAGG
rnacentral:rRNA from 1 species